AUUAAUAAGACUGAACAGGGUAACUAUAAAACUGACCUGCUUUUGUCUAACGACGCAGAGUAUUUGUAAAGUGCAACAGUUAACACCUUGUCUUUUUUUGCUUGGUACAUCUCUUCGUAUGAUGAUGCUCUGGGUUGGCCUGAUCUUUAUUGGACUUGUCCAUAUCAUGAUGGUACAAAGUGCUAGUUUUGGUUGCAGGUGUCCAGGAUGUGAUAGUCAUCCUGAUCAUGGCUCCCUCAACUGUAACAGUGACUCUAUGGGCUAUCGCUGUACCAUCAGUUGUGACGAAGGGUAUAAGUUUAUAACACAAGUCCCAGCUUGGUAUCUAUGCACGUCAUAUGGAUUAUGGAUAGUAUCGUCUUGCAUGCAGGAUGGUAAAUGUACUUACUACCCGCCGUCAUGGCCUGAAUGCGUGCCAGUCACCGAUAAAAAGUCGCCGUACAAUUGAUGAGACUAACUCGUCCAGUCAAGUGUGCGUGUUACAAGCAUGAACAUGUUGUAUAAUCAGGAGCAUCACUAUUGACAACUACUGUUCCAAAAGCAGUAUAAAAUCAUAAUAAAAACCAGGGGAAAUAAAUUCCUGUUAAAUCUCAAUA